AUUGCUUCUCGGCCUUUUGGCUAAGAUCAAGUGUAUUAUCUGUUCUUAUCAGUUUAAUAUCUAUACAUCCUCUAUCUGAGGACAAUUUAUUAAAUGGAUUUUUGGAGCGGGGAGCUGCAAUAGGAGCUUGCUCUGUCCACUCUACAUCAACCUGGUAUUGCAGUACCUCCAGGAAUGGUGCACCAGAA
rnacentral:snRNA from 1 species